GAUCGGGUAUAUAAGAGCUGUGCACGCCAUUAAACACUCUCUGCUGCAUGAGUGUUGUGCUGUGUCUCCAUCUCCCCACACUGCCACAGCCAACAAUGCACCUUUUAUACCCAAACCAUUUUGCAGCUUUCUGCCAGGGCGAGGUGGCCUUAGAGUGAGCACGGUACAAUUUGCGUCCCCAGAAAUUAAUUUAUGCACUGCUCAGGUGGUGCCUGGAGGCCUCAGCAUCCAUGGAAAGGAGGAACAGGAAUCAGUUUCCAGUUCUAGGCUGGCCAGCGUGGCCACCAUCCAAACACAGGAGACAGGUCCCAGACAAAAACAGGACACCUGCAGUCCCAGGAGAGAUGCUGAGCCUCCUGCCAGGCACAAAUGGGAAGGAGCUGCUGCCCGGGGCAGCCCAGCCUUUUGUCCCCUUGUCUGUGUGCACUCAUGGCCAUGUGCCAGCCACGCUCUGCACGCAGGCCCAGCACGAUCCACCCACUCUGCUGGCUCCUUCCAUCAGCAUUAUGUCAGUCUGUUCUACACCACCGGAGCCAGUCUGCUCCCACAUCAGAGCCCUGCAGUCAGAAAGUCAAAAAUAUCCUCCCUUCUGUUCCUGCCAGCCUCCAGCCAGGGGACCUCUGCUCGGCUCUGUUUCUAAGCCGUUCUCAUGCCACACUGCCAUGACUUCAUGAGACCUUUCCUCUGCCGGUGUCUCGCGUUGGGCGUGCUCAGGGGAUGGCUCACCCCUGCUGUGGGAUGUGCAUUGCUCCUCACUGUGCCUGGAAAACCUGGGCAUGGCAGGAGAGGAAAUGCCUGGAGGUGUGCUGCUUUCCUGAUGGGUAUGAAUUAAAAGUACAUUAUGAACAGUUCCAUUUAUUGGUGUAGAGUCCUUAAAAUGUUGCAUUGUUUAAGGCUGGUUUUAAAUGUUUAUUAUGUCUGCCAGCAUUAGCUGACAGCAAGGCUGGGAUCACUGCUGCUCACUCAGUUGUUGCUUUUACCAACUGCAUUUAAAAAAAAGUCUUAAUUUUUCCAUCUGAGACCCUCCUCUCCAUUUUCCCCUUCCCCCCACUUUGUUUCCUUUUUUAUUUCCUUUUUUUCCACUUUUAUUUCCUUUUUUUUUACAUUUAUG
rnacentral:lncRNA from 1 species